GGCCCAGUGGCUCAGUUGGUUAGAGCGCCGCCCUGUCACGGCGGAGGUCGACGGUUCGAGUCCGUUCUGGGUCG
rnacentral:tRNA from 2 species